rnacentral:rRNA from 1 species
UUUUUACAAGUACCCGUGAGGGAAAGUUGCAAAGAACUUUGAAGAGAGAGUUCAAGAGGGCGUGAAACCGUUUAGAGGGAAACAGGUAGAGCUGAUGAAAGCAGGGGGCAUUCANCCUGAAGUUGAAAGACUGAAGGUGUAUUUGCUGCCUGUGGCGCUGGUAGGGAUGGUGCUUGAGGUCUAGUUCUGCAGAGAGGGCCACUCUUUUGUGGUAUCCUUUGCUAAAUGAAGCCGCUUUGCAUCAUCCUCUGUGUGAGCCCACUAUGUGGCUUGUUGCAGUCCUCUUCUGGUGGUUUGUUUAGGUUGAAGUGAUUCGACUUGGGCAUGCUGCUGGAAAGUCUGUGCCUUGCCUGUGGUUGUGCACUGCCAGUGAAAAAGUCAGCUACCUUCCUGACCCGUCUUGAAACACGGACCAAGGAGUCUAACAUGUGCGCGAGCUGAAGGGUGGUAAACCUACACAGCGCAAUGAAGGUGAAGGUUGGCUAGACCAACUUCUAUGGGACCUGUUGCUUCGGUGACAGUGCACCAUAGUCCCGUCGCGUCUGCAUGUCAGUGCGGCGGAGAUAGAGCGUACACGUUGGGACCCGAAAGAUGGUGAACUAUGCCUGAGCAGGACGAAGCCAGGGGAAACUCUGGUGGAGGUCCGAAGCGGUUCUGACGUGCAAAUCGAUCGUCANACUUGGGUAUAGGGGC